GACGUAGGGCGCGAGCGUUGUCCGGAUUUAUUGGGCGUAAAGAGCUCGUAGGCGGUUUGUCGCGUCUGCUGUGAAAACUGGAGGCUCAACCUCCAGCCUGCAGUGGGUACGGGCAAACUAGAGUGCGGUAGGGGAGAUUGGAAUUCCUGGUGUAGCGGUGAAAUGCGCAGAUAUCAGGAGGAACACCGAUGGCGAAGGCAGGUCUCUGGGCCGAUACUGACGCUGAGGAGCGAAAGCGUGGGGAGCGAACAGG
rnacentral:rRNA from 1 species